rnacentral:rRNA from 1 species
UACAGAGGUGGCAAGCGUUGUUCGGAAUUACUGGGCGUAAAGGGCGCGUAGGCGGCCGCCUAAGUCAGACGUGAAAUCCCCAAGCUUAACUUGGGAACUGCGUCUGAUACUGGGUGGCUUGAGUUCGGGAGAGGAAUGUGGAAUUCCAGGUGUAGCGGUGAAAUGCGCAGAUAUCAGGAGGAACACCAAUUGCGAAGGCAGCUCGCUGGGACGUUACUGACGCUGAGACGCGAAAGCGUGGGGAGCAAACAGG